ACUUGAAGCAACAAGAAUGAGGAAGCUGUAAUGUCUCCAACACAAACAGAACAAACUGACUGUCAGCCAGGCUGUGGUGCGUUAAGUUCAGGUCACCGUGUGAGUCGACAUUUGUGAAAACCCAGUCAAGCCAGCUGCCUGUUGGAUUCUGAUGUGCGUCUAAAUGUGCUGUUUUGUACCGGUGCUUGGAGCAGCCAAAAAGGAGGAGGAGGACACAUUUCAGCAACCCUUCCUCACAUUAUUCAUUAUAAUAAGAUAUGUCUUGUUUUUAUUUUUGCUGUUCAAUUGUAUUCAAAGUUCAAAAAAAUCCUAGUUAAAAUGACCAUUUUCGGUAAAUUGUAAUAAAUGUGUUAUGUUUCCAAA